rnacentral:rRNA from 1 species
UACGUAGGGUGCAAGCGUUGUCCGGAAUUAUUGGGCGUAAAGCGCGUGUAGGCGGCUCGAUAAGUCUGCUGUGAAAGUCCAGGGCUCAACCCUGGAAUGCCGGUGGAUACUGUCGAGCUCGAGUCCGGAAGAGGCGAGUGGAAUUCCUGGUGUAGCGGUGAAAUGCGCAGAUAUCAGGAGGAACACCAAUGGCGAAGGCAGCUCGCUGGGACGGUACUGACGCUGAGACGCGAAAGCGUGGGGAGCAAACAGG